rnacentral:rRNA from 1 species
UACGUAGGGUGCAAGCGUUAAUCGGAAUUACUGGGCGUAAAGCGUGCGCAGGCGGUUGUGCAAGACAGAUGUGAAAUCCCCGGGCUCAACCUGGGAACUGCAUUUGUGACUGCACGGCUGGAGUGCGGCAGAGGGGAUGGAAUUCCGCGUGUAGCAGUGAAAUGCGUAGAUAUGCGGAGGAACACCGAUGGCGAAGGCAAUCCCCUGGGCCUGCACUGACGCUCAUGCACGAAAGCGUGGGAGCGAAACAA